CCUACGGGAGGCUGCAGUGGGGAAUAUUGCACAAUGGGCGCAAGCCUGAUGCAGCCAUGCCGCGUGUGUGAAGAAGGCCUUCGGGUUGUAAAGCACUUUCAGCGGGGAGGAAGGCGUUAAGGUUAAUAACCUUGUCGAUUGACGUUACCCGCAGAAGAAGCACCGGCUAACUCCGUGCCAGCAGCCGCGGUAAUACGGAGGGUGCAAGCGUUAAUCGGAAUUACUGGGCGUAAAGCGCACGCAGGCGGUCUGUCAAGUCGGAUGUGAAAUCCCCGGGCUCAACCUGGGAACUGCAUUCGAAACUGGCAGGCUAGAGUCUUGUAGAGAGGGGUAGAAUUCCAGGUGUAGCGGUGAAAUGCGUAGAGAUCUGGAGGAAUACCGGUGGCGAGGGCGGCCCCCUGGACAAAGACUGACGCUCAGGUGCGAAAGCGUGGGGAGCAAACAGGAUUAGAUACCCUAGUAGUC
rnacentral:rRNA from 1 species